UUGAACGCUGGCGGCAUGCCUUACACAUGCAAGUCGAACGGCAGCGGACCUUCGGGUGCCGGCGAGUGGCGAAACGGGUGAGUAAUAUAUCGGAACGUACCUUUCAGUGGGGGAUAACGUAGCGAAAGUUACGCUAAUACCGCAUAUUCUGUGAGCAGGAAAGCAGGGGAUCGCAAGACCUUGCGCUGAUUGAGCGGCCGAUAUCAGAUUAGCUAGUUGGUGAGGUAAAGGCUCACCAAGGCGACGAUCUGUAGCGGGUCUGAGAGGAUGAUCCGCCACACUGGAACUGAGACACGGUCCAGACUCCUACGGGAGGCAGCAGUGGGGAAUUUUGGACAAUGGGCGCAAGCCUGAUCCAGCCAUGCCGCGUGAGUGAAGAAGGCCUCGGGUUGUAAAGCUCUUUCGGCCGGGAAGAAAUCGCACAGGUUAAUACCCUGUGUGGAUGACGGUACCGGAAUAAGAAGCACCGGCUAACUACGUG
rnacentral:rRNA from 1 species